rnacentral:rRNA from 1 species
GCUUAACACAUGCAAGUCGAGCGGUAAGGCCCUUUCGGGGGUACACGAGCGGCGAACGGGUGAGUAACACGUGGGUGACCUGCCCUCAGCUCUGGGAUAAGCCUGGGAAACCGGGUCUAAUACUGGAUAUGACUCCAUGACGCAUGUUGUGGGGUGGAAAGCCUUGUGCGGCUGAGGAUGGGCCCGCGGCCUAUCAGCUUGUUGGUGGGGUGAUGGCCUACCAAGGCGACGACGGGUAGCCGGCCUGAGAGGGCGACCGGCCACACUGGGACUGAGACACGGCCCAGACUCCUACGGGAGGCAGCAGUGGGGAAUCUUGCGCAAUGGGCGAAAGCCUGACGCAGCGACGCCGCGUGAGGGAUGACG